rnacentral:rRNA from 1 species
UACAGAGGUCCCGAGCGUUUUUCGGAUUUACUGGGCGUAAAGGGUGCGUAGGCGGUGGGGUAAGUUUGAGGUGAAAGCUCCGGGCUCAACCCGGAAAAUGCCUUGAAAACUAUCCGGCUAGAGGGUUGGAGGGGAGACUGGAAUUCUCGGUGUAGCAGUGAAAUGCGUAGAUCUCGAGAGGAACACCAGUGGCGAAGGCGGGUCUCUGGACAACACCUGACGCUGAGGCACGAAAGCCAGGGGAGCAAACGGG